CCAAUAGCGUAUAUUAAAGUUGUUGCAGUUAAAAAGCUCGUAGUUGAAUUUCGGGAUUGACACAUCGGUCGUGCCUUAAGGGGUGUGAACUGGUGUAGUCAAUUUCUCACCUUCUGGAGAACCGCGAUGUCCUUAAUUGGGUGCCGCGAGGAACCAGGACCUUUACUUUGAAAAAAUUAGAGUGUUUAAAGCAGGCAUUUUUGCUUGAUUACAUUAGCAUGGAAUAAUAAAAUAGGACGGCAUGAUUCUAUUUUGUUGGUUUCUAGGAUCACCGUAAUGAUUAAUAGGGAUAGUUGGGGGCAUUAGUAUUCAAUUGUCAGAGGUGAAAUUCUUGGAUUUAUUGAAGACUAACUACUGCGAAAGCAUUUGCCAAGGAUGUUUUCAUUAAUCAAGAACGAAAGUUAGGGGAUCGAAGACGAUCAGAUACCGUCGUAGUCUUAACCAUAAACUAUGCCGACUAGGAAUCAGACGAUGUUAAUUUUUUAAUGACUCGUUUGGCACCUUACG
rnacentral:misc_RNA from 1 species